rnacentral:ncRNA from 1 species
UUCUUCGGGGAUGGGUGAAAUUCCCUACCGGCGGUACAGCCCGCGAACUGAACCCACGGUUCAGCCGAUUCGGUGAAAUUCCGAAGCCGACAGUAAAGUCUGGAUGAGAGAAGA